UACAGAGGGGCAAGCGUUGUUCGGAAUUACUGGGCGUAAAGGGCGCGUAGGCGGCCUUCUAAGUCGAACGUGAAAUCCCCGGGCUCAACCCGGGAACUGCGUCCGAUACUGGAAGGCUUGAAUCCGGGAGAGGGAUGCGGAAUUCCAGGUGUAGCGGUGAAAUGCGUAGAUAUCUGGAGGAACACCGGUGGCGAAGGCGGCAUCCUGGACCGGCAUUGACGCUGAGGCGCGGAAAGCCAGGGGAGCCAAAGCGGG
rnacentral:rRNA from 1 species